AGGGUCUUACUCUUACGAUUCAUUAGGCUUAACUAUAGCACUGCUCAGUCUGUGGCUUAUUAUUUCUCAUCAUGGGGGCAAAACCUUUUUGAGUGCACUACUCAAUGCCCUGUGAAUUAAGAGUUUUCCCAUUUUGGCUGGUGGCAACAGGCAAUGUCUCCAGUGUUGACAACUCCGAUCCAAUAUCCGAGAAAUUGAGAAACUUUGUUUGAAAGUCCGAAAGGAUGACCUAGUACUUCUGAAGAGAAUGAUAGAUCCUGUUAAAGAAGAAGCAUCAGCAGCAACAGCAGAAUUUCUCCAACUCCAUUUGGAAUCUGUAGAAGAACUUAAGAAGCAAUUUAAUGAUGAAGAAACUUUGCUACAGCCUCCUUUGACCAGAUCCAUGACUGUUGGUGGAGCAUUUCAUACUACUGAAGCUGAAGCUAGUUCUCAGAGUUUGACUCAGAUAUAUGCCUUACCUGAAAUUCCUCAAGAUCAAAAUGCUGCAGAAUCGUGGGAAACCUUAGAAGCGGUAUGUUAAAAAAUAUUUUCUUUUUGGUAGUUGUGAGGCGUAGAAGUAACUUCCUCUCCCUUUCUUUUAAAGGACUUAAUUGAACUUAGCCAACUGGUCACUGACUUCUCUCUCCUAGUGAAUUCUCAGCAGGAGAAGAUUGACAGCAUUGCAGACCAUGUCAACAGUGCUGCUGUGAAUGUUGAAGAGGGAACCAAAAACUUGGGGAAGGCUGCAAAAUACAAGCUGGCAGCUCUGCCUGUGGCAGGUGCACUCAUCGGAGGAAUGGUAGGGGGUCCUAUUGGCCUCCUUGCAGGCUUCAAAGUGGCAGGAAUUGCAGCUGCACUUGGUGGUGGGGUGUUGGGCUUCACAGGUGGAAAACUGAUACAAAGAAAGAAACAGAAAAUGAU
rnacentral:sRNA from 1 species